rnacentral:misc_RNA from 1 species
GAUGAAGAACGCAGCGAAAUGCGAUAAGUAAUGUGAAUUGCAGAAUUCAGUGAAUCAUCGAAUCUUUGAACGCACAUUGCGCCCCCUGGUAUUCCGGGGGGCAUGCCUGUCCGAGCGUCAUUACAACCCUCAAGCUCAGCUUGGUGUUGGGCCCCGCCGCCCCGGCGGGCCCUAAAGUCAGUGGCGGUGCCGUCCGGCUCCGAGCGUAGUAAUUCUUCUCGCUCUGGAGGUCCGGUCGUGUGCUCGCCAGCAACCCCCAAUUUUUUUCAGGUUGACCUCGGAUCAGGUAGGGAUACCCGCUGAACUUAAGCAUAUCAAUAAGCGGAG